rnacentral:rRNA from 1 species
CACGAAGUUAGCCGGGGCUUCUUCUCCGACUACAGUCAUUAUCUUCAUCGGCGAAAGUGCUUUACAACCCUAAGGCCUUCAUCACACACGCGGCAUGGCUGGAUCAGGCUUGCGCCCAUUAGUCCAAUAUUCCCCACUGCUGCCUCCCGUAGGAGUCUGGGCCGUGUCUCAGUCCCAGUGUGGCUGGUCAUCCUCUCAGACCAGCUAAGGAUCGUCGCCUUGGUGAGCCAUUACCUCACCAACUAGCUAAUCCUACGCGGGCUCAUCUUAUGGCGAUAAAUCUUUCCCCCGAAGGGCUCAUACGGUAUUAGCCAAAGUUUCCCUUGGUUGUUCCCGUACCACAAGGUAGAUUCCCACGCGUUACUCACCCGUCUGCCACUCCCUGUUGCCAGGGCGUUCGACUUGCAUGUGUUAGGCCUGCCGCCAGCGUCGUUCGUGUGCGACGGAAGUCAAACUAC